GAGUAAAUAUUGAAGGAGAGGAUCAGCUGUGUUCACCAAUCAGUUUAGUAUAGCCGAUGGUCAAGGAGAGUGGUUGGAUCAGCUGGACAUGUCCUUGUGAUCGUUUCAAAUCUGAAGUGUACCGGAAGUGGAAUGUGAUUAGCUUGAGCUCGUGUCUAGUCUUCUUUCGCCAAUUUCAUGGAUUCAAAGGUAAACAAUAGGAGGGAGACUUUACAAUAGGACGGGAAGGAACAUCAUUAGCCAGCGGUAGUUUUAUUAUCCUUGCAAAG